rnacentral:tRNA from 1 species
AGUAGGGUGCCUGAUUAAAAAGGACUAUCUUGAUAGGGUAGAUUAUGAAAUUUUUCUCCUGCUU